GACCUCAAAUUCGAUCAGAAUUCGCCCUCUCACGGCGAAAACAGGGGUUCGAUUCCCCUUGGGAGCG
rnacentral:tRNA from 1 species